rnacentral:rRNA from 1 species
GACGAACGCUGGCGGCGUGCCUAAUACAUGCAAGUCGAGCGAAGUUUUUCUGGUGCUUGCACUAGAAAAACUUAACGGCGAACGGGUGAGUAACACGUAAAGAACCUGCCUCAUACACGGGGACAACUAUCGGAAACGAUAGCUAAUACCGGAUAACAACAUAAAUCGCAUGAUAUAUGUUUAAAAGUUGGUUUCGGCUAACACUAUGAGAUGGCUUUGCGGUGCAUUAGCUAGUUGGUGGGGUAAAGGCCUACUAAGGCGACGAUGCAUAGCCGACCUGAGAGGGUGAUCGUCCACACUGGGACUGAGACACGGUCCAGACUCCUACGGGAGGUAUCAUUCUGGAAUCUUCCGUAAUGGAUUAAAGCCUGAUUGAUUAACGUCGCGAGAGUUAACAUGCAUUUCGUUUCUCACAGUUUUGCCCUAGGGAUCAACGAUUGUUAAGUAACUAUUACCACUAGAGAUGUACCUAUCAGAAAGCUACCGUUAACUACGUGCCACUUCCGCUGUUAUUUUUUUGUGGUUCUCUUGUUGGUGUUUUGGGCUCUAGCUCUUUUAUUGCUUUCUAUCCUUUUCUUUUUUCUUUUUAUUCCUUAGGUUUUGCCGUUUUUCAC